rnacentral:rRNA from 1 species
GGGUUGUGAGGUUAAGCGACUAAGCGUACACGGUGGAUGCCCUGGCAGUCAGAGGCGAUGAAGGACGUGCUAAUCUGCGAUAAGCGUCGGUAAGGUGAUAUGAACCGUUAUAACCGGCGAUUUCCGAAUGGGGAAACCCAGUGUGUUUCGACACACUAUCAUUAACUGAAUCCAUAGGUUAAUGAGGCGAACCGGGGGAACUGAAACAUCUAAGUACCCCGAGGAAAAGAAAUCAACCGAGAUUCCCCCAGUAGCGGCGAGCGAACGGGGAGGAGCCCAGAGCCUGAAUCAGUGUGUGUGUUAGUGGAAGCGUCUGGAAAGGCGCGCGAUACAGGGUGACAGCCCCGUACACAAAAAUGCACAUGCUGUGAGCUCGAUGAGUAGGGCGGGACACGUGGUAUCCUGUCUGAAUAUGGGGGGACCAUCCUCCAAGGCUAAAUACUCCUGACUGACCGAUAGUGAACCAGUACCGUGAGGGAAAGGCGAAAAGAACCCCGGCGAGGGGAGUGAAAAAGAACCUGAAACCGUGUACGUACAAGCAGUGGGAGCACGCUUAGGCGUGUGACUGCGUACCUUUUGUAUAAUGGGUCAGCGACUUAUAUUCUGUAGCAAGGUUAACCGAAUAGGGGAGCCGAAGGGAAACCGAGUCUUAACUGGGCGUUAAGUUGCAGGGUAUAGACCCGAAACCCGGUGAUCUAGCCAUGGGCAGGUUGAAGGUUGGGUAACACUAACUGGAGGACCGAACCGACUAAUGUUGAAAAAUUAGCGGAUGACUUGUGGCUGGGGGUGAAAGGCCAAUCAAACCGGGAGAUAGCUGGUUCUCCCCGAAAGCUAUUUAGGUAGCGCCUCGUGAAUUCAUCUCCGGGGGUAGAGCACUGUUUCGGCAAGGGGGUCAUCCCGACUUACCAACCCGAUGCAAACUGCGAAUACCGGAGAAUGUUAUCACGGGAGACACACGGCGGGUGCUAACGUCCGUCGUGAAGAGGGAAACAACCCAGACCGCCAGCUAAGGUCCCAAAGUCAUGGUUAAGUGGGAAACGAUGUGGGAAGGCCCAGACAGCCAGGAUGUUGGCUUAGAAGCAGCCAUCAUUUAAAGAAAGCGUAAUAGCUCACUGGUCGAGUCGGCCUGCGCGGAAGAUGUAACGGGGCUAAACCAUGCACCGAAGCUGCGGCAGCGACGCUGAUGCGUUGUUGGGUAGGGGAGCGUUCUGUAAGCCUGCGAAGGUGUGCUGUGAGGCAUGCUGGAGGUAUCAGAAGUGCGAAUGCUGACAUAAGUAACGAUAAAGCGGGUGAAAAGCCCGCUCGCCGGAAGACCAAGGGUUCCUGUCCAACGUUAAUCGGGGCAGGGUGAGUCGACCCCUAAGGCGAGGCCGAAAGGCGUAGUCGAUGGGAAACAGGUUAAUAUUCCUGUACUUGGUGUUACUGCGAAGGGGGGACGGAGAAGGCUAUGUUGGCCGGGCGACGGUUGUCCCGGUUUAAGCGUGUAGGCUGGUUUUCCAGGCAAAUCCGGAAAAUCAAGGCUGAGGCGUGAUGACGAGGCACUACGGUGCUGAAGCAACAAAUGCCCUGCUUCCAGGAAAAGCCUCUAAGCAUCAGGUAACAUCAAAUCGUACCCCAAACCGACACAGGUGGUCAGGUAGAGAAUACCAAGGCGCUUGAGAGAACUCGGGUGAAGGAACUAGGCAAAAUGGUGCCGUAACUUCGGGAGAAGGCACGCUGAUAUGUAGGUGAAGCGACUUGCUCGUGGAGCUGAAAUCAGUCGAAGAUACCAGCUGGCUGCAACUGUUUAUUAAAAACACAGCACUGUGCAAACACGAAAGUGGACGUAUACGGUGUGACGCCUGCCCGGUGCCGGAAGGUUAAUUGAUGGGGUUAGCGCAAGCGAAGCUCUUGAUCGAAGCCCCGGUAAACGGCGGCCGUAACUAUAACGGUCCUAAGGUAGCGAAAUUCCUUGUCGGGUAAGUUCCGACCUGCACGAAUGGCGUAAUGAUGGCCAGGCUGUCUCCACCCGAGACUCAGUGAAAUUGAACUCGCUGUGAAGAUGCAGUGUACCCGCGGCAAGACGGAAAGACCCCGUGAACCUUUACUAUAGCUUGACACUGAACAUUGAGCCUUGAUGUGUAGGAUAGGUGGGAGGCUUUGAAGUGUGGACGCCAGUCUGCAUGGAGCCGACCUUGAAAUACCACCCUUUAAUGUUUGAUGUUCUAACGUGGACCCGUAAUCCGGGUUGCGGACAGUGUCUGGUGGGUAGUUUGACUGGGGCGGUCUCCUCCUAAAGAGUAACGGAGGAGCACGAAGGUUGGCUAAUCCUGGUCGGACAUCAGGAGGUUAGUGCAAUGGCAUAAGCCAGCUUGACUGCGAGCGUGACGGCGCGAGCAGGUGCGAAAGCAGGUCAUAGUGAUCCGGUGGUUCUGAAUGGAAGGGCCAUCGCUCAACGGAUAAAAGGUACUCCGGGGAUAACAGGCUGAUACCGCCCAAGAGUUCAUAUCGACGGCGGUGUUUGGCACCUCGAUGUCGGCUCAUCACAUCCUGGGGCUGAAGUAGGUCCCAAGGGUAUGGCUGUUCGCCAUUUAAAGUGGUACGCGAGCUGGGUUUAGAACGUCGUGAGACAGUUCGGUCCCUAUCUGCCGUGGGCGCUGGAGAACUGAGGGGGGCUGCUCCUAGUACGAGAGGACCGGAGUGGACGCAUCACUGGUGUUCGGGUUGUCAUGCCAAUGGCACUGCCCGGUAGCUAAAUGCGGAAGAGAUAAGUGCUGAAAGCAUCUAAGCACGAAACUUGCCCCGAGAUGAGUUCUCCCUGACUCCUUGAGAGUCCUGAAGGAACGUUGAAGACGACGACGUUGAUAGGCCGGGUGUGUAAGCGCAGCGAUGCGUUGAGCUAACCGGUACUAAUGAACCGUGAGGCUUAACCUUACAACGCCGAAGCUGUU